rnacentral:lncRNA from 1 species
AUAGUGCCAUCCUUUGUGAGUCAUCCACAUGUGAGCUGUUGGAGAAUAUUUAAAAUCCAAACCACAACCAAUAGUAAGAUAGUUAGGGUUCCACUCCGGACAACUUGAGAGAGCAUAGGCCCAUUGAAUUCUCAGUAAAUGAUGCAUAUUGUGCCCCUGCAGAUGAAACAAUCAUAACUGAAGUUCAACCAAUGUUUUGGGAUGAUGAAAAUAUUUCCUUCCAGAGAGGAAAUAUUUCCUUUCUUUCCUGAGAGGAAGAAGACCAUUCAAGGUCAACAACAUAUGGGACAGCCCUCAAGAAUGAGAGUAGAGAACAUUCCAGAGCAUCACUGUGACCAUCACAUAUGGUACAUCUGAAAAUUGAGGCCCAAGCAGGAUGUGUUCUUAUAUACCAUGGUAAAAAAGGAAUUAGAAAAACCUCCAGGAGGCUAACGGAUGUGAGGGAAGGAUUUCAGGCAAGUCAAUAAUAUGCUCAAAUUUAAUUGUAAGGAUUCAGUCUAGCAUCACAGAUGAGGGAUGAAUUGAGGAAGAGGCAAGUCUUGCUCCCAGAGACUGCUAAAAGACUUGAAGUAACAGAAGCAACAAGCAAUGAGGUUUUGAGGACAGAAAGUACAUAGGAUACUUUCAAGGAGAAAAAGUUGCCUGGACUUGAUGAUCAGUUGGCUUUUGCUGGGUGGAGAAAAUGCAGAAAUAUAAAAUGCCUCCUAAAUUUCUGAACUAGAUCCCUUGGGCAAUGUGCCUUCUACAAAGAAAGAUGAGAAAGAACAGUUUUGAAAUACAUAAUAAUAACAGCUGAAAUGCAUAGAGUUCUCACUUGCCACUCAUUAUACUGAAUUCUGUGUCAUUUCUUGUGUCAAAAACGAGUCCAGUUUUGGGAAGGAUGAGUUUGGGCAGCUCAUGACUAUCCAUGUCGAUAUCCUCACCAUCAGCUCCAGGGGAAUAUCUGAGUCUGCAGCUUAGAGGAGCUACUGGGAUUGGAAAUCAAAAUUUAUGACUUGUGAGGAUAAC